rnacentral:misc_RNA from 1 species
AAGGAUAUAUUCGGAACAUCUUCUUUAGAAGAUGAAAAGGAAUAACAUUGACAUAUUGUAUUCAGUUUUGAAUGCUCAUUCGAGUAUUCUUUAAUGAUUUGUACAUUGAAAACUAGAUAAGUAAGUAAAAUUUAUGAUUUUACCAAGCAAAACCGAGUGAAUAAGAGUUUUAAAUAAGCUUGAAUUCAAAAAGAAAUAAUCGCUAGUGUUCGAAAGAACACUCACAGAUUAAUAACAUUUUGGGUUUUCAACCGACGGUUGUCGAGUUGAAAGCAAAUA